AUUGAACGCUGGCGGCAGGCCUAACACAUGCAAGUCGAACGAGUGGCGGACGGGUGAGUAAUGUCUGGGAACCUACCUUAUGGAGGGGGCUAACUACUGGAAACGGUAGCUAAUACCGCAAACCAUAGGCUGAGCCCAGACGGGAUUAGCUAGUAGGUGGGGUAAAGGCUCACCGAGGCGACGAUCCCUAGCUGGUCUGAGAGGAUGACCAGCCACACUGGAACUGAGACACGGUCCAGACUCCUACGGGAGGCAGCAGUGGGGAAUAUUGCACAAUGGGCGCAAGCCUGAUGCAGCCAUGCCGCGUGUAUGAAGAAGGCCUUCGGGUUGUAAAGUACUUUCAGCGGGGAGGCGUUACCCGCAGAAGAAGCACCGGCUAACUCCGUGCCAGCAGCCGCGGUAAUUC
rnacentral:rRNA from 1 species